ensembl:lncRNA
AUGAUCGCUAAACUAAAGAACCGAAUCCAGCGACUGCAGGAAGCCAUGCAAGAACAGGAAGAGGAAGAAGAAGGGGAGGAGUUCAUCAACGUGAACGACAGCGGCCUGAUGCUGUAUAAGGAACUCUGUAAUAAACUGUACGACCAUCAGAAAGAGGGUGUGGCCUUCCUCUACGGCCUGCACAGGGACGGGCGGCGGGGCGGCAUACUGGCAGACGAUAUGGGCCUCGGGAAAACCAUCCAGGUUGUUUCCUUCCUGUCAGGAAUGUACGAUGCUGAGCUGGCCAAGCACACGCUGCUGGUCAUGCCCACCUCGCUCAUUAAAAACUGGGUACGGGAGUUUGCCAAGUGGACCCCAGGGAUGCGGGUGAAGGAAUUCCACGGCACCAGCAAAACAGAAAGAAACCGGAAUCUGGAGAGGAUCCAGCGGAAGGGGGGGGCCAUUAUAACCACUUACCAAAUGGUCAUCAACAACUGGGAACAGCUGUCAAUGUUCCAGCAGCAGGAAUUCUGCUGGGAUUAUGUCAUUUUGGACGAGGCACACAAGAUCAAAACCCCGUCCACCAAAACGGCAAAGUGCGCUCGUGCCAUCCCAGCCCGGCACCGCCUGCUUCUGACCGGCACGCCCGUCCAGAACAACUUGCGAGAAAUGUGGGCGCUAUUCGAUUUCGCCUGCCAGGGUGCGCUGCUGGGCACCGCAAAAACAUUUAAGACGGAAUACGAAAACCCCAUCACUCGCGCCAGAGAGAAAGACUCUACACCAGGAGAGAAAGCCCUGGGCCUUAAAAUCUCCCAAAACCUGAUGGAGCUCAUAAAACCAUAUUUCCUUCGCCGGACGAAGGAUGAGGUGCAGCAGAAAAAGCAGAGCGCUAAGGGAGCUGAAGAGGAACUGAAAGAGGAAACCGAGGAAAAGGAGGAUAAAGAGAACGGCUGUCCAAAUAUAGGUGAUCCAGCCGAAAUGCCCUCACUGACCCGUAAGAACGAUUUAAUCAUCUGGACGUACCUGAGCCCAGUGCAGGAGGACAUUUACAAACAGUUCAUUUCUCUGGAUCACAUCAAAGAGUUGCUGAUGACCACACGCUCUCCGCUGGAUGAGGGCGAAUCUACUCUGUUGGAAGAAUCUGGAAAACUGCGCUUCCUCAUGUCUCUGCUGGAACAUCUCAGAGAGGAAAAUCACCGGACACUGGUGUUCUCCCAGUCCAGGAAGAUGCUGGACAUUAUUGAACGUGUCCUGCGGAACCGGAACUUUCGGAUGCUGCGAGUGGACGGUACGGUGACCCACCUGGCUGAGAGAGAGAAGCGCAUUGCCCUUUUCCAGACAGACAGACGGUACUCGGUCUUUCUUCUGACCACGCAGGUGGGCGGAGUCGGCAUUACGCUGACUGCUGCUAACCGGGUGGUGAUUUUUGACCCCAGCUGGAACCCGGCGACGGAUGCGCAGGCGGUGGACCGAGCAUACCGUAUCGGACAGACAGAAAACGUUGUGAUCUACCGCCUCAUCACCUGCGGCACUGUGGAGGAGAAAAUCUACCGCAGACAGGUGUGUCCUUUUAAUAUACAAGUGGCUGAUGGCUUUUUUUUCCUAAGGUUACAUCAAUUUUACAGUCGUCCUCACGUUUGUCGCAAGAAAUUUGGAUGUAAUGAGAGGAUGAUUUCUGGAGGAGUCAUGGAAUUAUCUGAUGUGGCUAGUUCUGCAGCUGCUGAAAACUCGAUGAGCACUCCAGUGGAAGACAGUUUAAUCUUCAGGGAGGAGUCCUCCACUCCUCCCUCUGAGGAGGCGCCCUCU